rnacentral:rRNA from 1 species
AGAGUUUGAUCCUGGCUCAGAUUGAACGCUGGCGGCAUGCUUUACACAUGCAAGUCGAACGGCAGCACGGGGGCAACCCUGGUGGCGAGUGGCGAACGGGUGAGUAAUACAUCGGAACGUAUCCUUGAGUGGGGGAUAACGCAGCGAAAGUUGUGCUAAUACCGCAUGAGCUCUGAGGAGGAAAGUGGGGGACCGUAAGGCCUCACGCUGAAGGGGCGGCCGAUGUCCGAUUAGCUAGUUGGUGAGGUAAAGGCUCACCAAGGCUUCGAUCGGUAGCUGGUCUGAGAGGAUGAUCAGCCACACUGGGACUGAGACACGGCUCAGACUCCUACGGGAGGCAGCAGUGGGGAAUUUUGGACGAUGGGGGCAACCCUGAUCCAGCCGUGCCGCGUGAGUGAAGAAGGCCUUCGGGUUGUAAAGCUCUUUCGUGAGGGAAGAAACGGCCAUAGUGAAUAGCUGUGGUUACUGACGGUACCUCAAGAAGAAGCACCGGCUAACUACGUGCCAGCCGCCGCGGU